rnacentral:rRNA from 1 species
UGGGGAAUUGUUCACAAUGGGCGCAAGCCUGAUGACGCAACGCCGCGUGGGGGAUGAAGGUCUUCGGAUUGUAAACCCCUGUCGAAUGGGACGAAAGACUCGCGAGUUAAUACUUCGCGGGAGUGACGGUACCGUUAAAGGAAGCCACGGCUAACUCUGUGCCAGCAGCCGCGGUAAUACAGAGGUGGCAAGCGUUGUUCGGAAUUACUGGGCGUAAAGGGCGCGUAGGCGGCCUACUAAGUCAGACGUGAAAUCCCCCGGCUUAACCUGGGAACUGCGUCUGAUACUGGAAGGCUUGAGUAUGGGAGAGGGAUGUAGAAUUCCAGGUGUAGCGGUGAAAUGCGUAGAUAUCUGGAGGAAUACCGGUGGCGAAGGCGGCAUCCUGGACCAUUACUGACGCUGAGGCGCGAAAGCUAGGGGAGCAAACGGGAUUAGAUACCCUUGUAGUCCCUGAGCGGGCUGGCAAGGCGCAU